GUUUCCAUCCUUUAGGAAGACCCUGGAACGUGCCAGUUGAUUCUGACAAUUUCUCAUGAACAGAAACACCUAGGAAGGGAGAACUGGAUUUAUUUAAUGGGGAUGUGUUCAAGGCAAGACCGAAUUCAGAAGGAUAUCGACGUCGUGAUCCAGAAGUCCAGAGCUGAGGACUGCCUGUUUGCAGGGCCCGCCUGGCAGGACGACUGAGCAAGUCCUUGGAAAACCAGAGAUAUUAGAGCGGUGAAUCGCGCUGGUCACGUUGGACACCUGCGCGUUAGGAGAUUCUGGAGCCAGAGGGAGAGACCCCAGAAACUCCCCGGUCG
rnacentral:lncRNA from 1 species